ensembl:snoRNA
CCAUGGUGAUGUACUGAUGGUGAGCUCUUCUCCGUGGGCCUUUCCUACUGUACCCUUGAAAGCUCGUCGUUCGUGCGUCCCUCAACCAUUGCCCAGGCUCCUCAUUGGUGGGCUGUGAGCACUGAAGGGGGCUCUACAAUG